UCUUGCAGUGAUAAUAACAACCAACAGUGCCCAUAAGAUGGCAUGUUUUGGUCACACACAACGAAAAGAUUUUUUUUUUAGUGUGGUCAAAGGUCAAAGGUCAUGGUCAGUGUGACCUCAUCAAUAACAAAGGGUGCAUUUCUUGUGCAUAAUUUUCUUUUGUUUACAACAGUUCAUGCUACUUAAAUGAGGCAGGCCUGUUUUGCAAUGGAUAGUGUAAACACUACAAUACAUGAGGACACUCCCAUCGUUUCCUCAAACUUUGCUCAGUCAGCAAGGGGACUUCAUUGACUGCGCCCGCACUGAAAGAUCACUGACUGAGAGCCCAUGACUGAGGAAACAGCUAGAGGGGAUCCUGCUGGAGGCUCUGGGCCAGAUACAGGGGCGACUGAGAAAGGGGAUGAGCCGAAAGGGAAAUGAGCAAACAAAUGGGAGUUCAUCCUCGCCAUGACUGGACAGAUGAUUAACCUCGGGACUACUUGGCGUUUCCCCUUUGUCUGCUACAGGAAUGGAGGAGGUUCUGAGUGUUAAGGGUUUCACAUGACAUGACCCUGGGUCCGGUGAACUGGGAUUUGGCUGCGUGUCUCCUCCUCGCCUGGAUUGUGUGUUACCUCUGCAUCUUUCGAGGAAUCAAAUCUGCAG